rnacentral:rRNA from 1 species
CCUACGGGAGGCAGCAGUAGGGAACCUUCCACAAUGGGCGAAAGCCUGAUGGAGCAACGCCGCGUGAGUGAUGAAGGCCUUCGGGUUGUAAAACUCUGUCAUUCGGGACGAACCGGAGUCUGAGGAAAUGCAGACUCUCUGACGGUACCGGAGGAGGAAGCCCCGGCUAACUACGUGCCAGCAGCCGCGGUAAUACGUAGGGGGCAAGCGUUGUCCGGAUUCACUGGGCGUAAAGCGCGCGCAGGCGGUGAUGUAAGUCUGAGGUGAAAACCCGAAGCUCAACUUCGGGACUGCCUUGGAUACUGCGUCACUUGAGGAUAGGAGAGGCAAGGGGAAUUCCACGUGUAGCGGUGAAAUGCGUAGAGAUGUGGAGGAACACCUGUGGCGAAGGCGCCUUGCUGGCCUAUUUCUGACGCUGAGGCGCGAAAGCGUGGGGAGCAAACAGGAUUAGAUACCCUGGUAGUCCACGCUGUAAACGAUGAGUGCUAGGUGUAGGUGGGCUCAUACCCAUCUGUGCCGAAGCUAACGCAUUAAGCACUCCGCCUGGGGAGUACGGUCGCAAGACUGAAACUCAAAUGAAUUGACGGGCUUGAGGACNGCGAGGACGACACGAGGGGAGGAGG